rnacentral:rRNA from 1 species
GCUUAACACAUGCAAGUCGAGCGAGAAUCGUUUUGCUGAAGGCUUCGGUCCGAUGCAGAAUGAGGAAAGCGGCGAACGGGUGAGUAACGCGUGGACAACUUGGCCUUAAGAAAAGGAUAGCCCCCGGAAACGGGGAGUAAUACUUUAUGAGAAUAGAAAAGGGCAUCCUGUUUCUAUUCAAAGCGCAAGCGCUUAAGGAUGGGCCCGCGUAUCAUUAGCUAGUUGGUGAGAUAACAGCCCACCAAGGCAACGAUGAUUAGCCGGUCUGAGAGGGAGAACGGCCACAUUGGAACUGAGAGACGGUCCAAACUCCUACGGGAGGCAGCAGUGGGGAAUAUUGCGCAAUGGAGAAGAACUCUGACGCAGCAAUACCGCGUGAGCGAAGAAGGUCUUCGGAUCGUAAAGCUCUGUUAUCAGGGAAGAAGAAAAUGACGGUACCUGAUGAGCAAGUCCCGGCUAACUACGUGCCAGCAGCCGCCGCGGUAA